rnacentral:rRNA from 1 species
UACGUAGGGCGCAAGCGUUGUCCGGAAUUAUUGGGCGUAAAGAGCUCGUAGGUGGCGUGUCGCGUCUGCCGUGAAAGCCCAUGGCUUAACUGUGGGUCUGCGGUGGAUACUGUCGGGCUCGAGUCCGGAAGAGGCGAGUGGAAUUCCUGGUGUAGCGGUGGAAUGCGCAGAUAUCAGGAGGAACACCAAUGGCGAAGGCAGCUCGCUGGGACGGUACUGACGCUAAGGCGCGAAAGCGUGGGGAGCAAACAGG